rnacentral:rRNA from 1 species
UGGGGAAUAUUGGACAAUGGGCGGAAGCCUGAUCCAGCAACGCCGCGUGAGGGAUGACGGCCUUCGGGUUGUAAACCUCUUUCAGCACAGACGAAGCGAAAGUGACGGUAUGUGCAGAAGAAGCACCGGCCAACUACGUGCCAGCAGCCGCGGUAAUACGUAGGGUGCGAGCGUUGUCCGGAAUUAUUGGGCGUAAAGGGCUCGUAGGCGGUUUGUCGCGUCGGGAGUGAAAACACACAGCUUAACUGUGUGCUGGCUUCCGAUACGGGCAGACUAGAGGUAUGCAGGGGAGAACGGAAUUCCUGGUGUAGCGGUGAAAUGCGCAGAUAUCAGGAGGAACACCGGUGGCGAAGGCGGUUCUCUGGGCAUUACCUGACGCUGAGGAGCGAAAGUGUGGGGAGCGAACAGGAUUAGAUACCCUGGUAGUCCACACCGUAAACGUUGGGCGCUAGGUGUGGGGCCUA